GCCGACCGCGAUCUCAGCAGGCGCGGUUUCGUAAACCGCUGGCCGGGAGUUCGAAUCUCCCCGUCGGCU
rnacentral:tRNA from 1 species